AUUGAACGCUGGCGGCAGGCCUAACACAUGCAAGUCGAACGAGUGGCGCACGGGUGUGUAAUGUCUGGGACACUGCGUGAUGGAGGGGGAUAACCACUGGAAGGGGUAGAUAAUCCCGCAUACCAUCGGAUGUGCCCAGAUGGGAUUAUCUAGUAGGUGGGGUAAAGGCUCACCUAGGCCACGCUCCCUAGCUGGUCUGAGAGGAUGACCAGCCACACUGGAACUGAGACACGGUCCAGACUCCUACGGGAGGCAGCAGUGGGGAAUAUUGCACAAUGGGCGCAAGCCUGAUGCAGCCAUGCCGCGUGUAUGAAGAAGGCCUUCGGGUUGUAAAGUACUUUCAGCGGGGAGGCGUUACCCGCAGAAGAAGCACCGGCUAACUCCGUGCCAGCAGCCGCGGUAAUAC
rnacentral:rRNA from 1 species